rnacentral:rRNA from 1 species
GAAAUUCCAAUCGAACCCGGAGAUAGCUGGUUCUCCCCGAAAUAGCUUUAGGGCUAGCGUCGGAAAGAACCUUAGUGAAGGUAGAGCACUGAAUGUGUGAUGGCCCCAUCCCGGGGUACUGAAUACAAUCAAACUGCGAAUGUCAUUAAGGAUGUCCGGCAGUCAGACUGUGAGUGAUAAGGUCCAUGGUCAAGAGGGAAACAGCCCAGACCGCCAGUUAAGGUCCCAAAAUACAGGCUAAGUGGAAAAGGAUGUGGGGAUGCCCAGACAACUAGGAGGUUGGCUCAGAAGCAGCCAUCCUUUAAAGAGUGCGUAACAGCUCACUAGUCGAGUGACCCUGCGCCGAAAAUGUACCGGGGCUAAGCCUGAUACCGAAACUGCGGAUUGUAGGAAACUAUAGUGGUAGGGGAGCGUUGUAUACGAGCAGAAGCCGUACCGUGAGGAGCGGUGGAUUGUAUAGAAGUGAGAAUGCCGGUGUGAGUAGCGAGAUGUAGGUGAGAAUCCUACACACCGAAAGCCCAAGGAUUCCAGGGGAAGGUUCGUCCGCCCUGGGUAAGUCGGGACCUAACGCGAGGCCGAAAGGCGUAGUGGAUGGAAAGCAGGCGAAAGAUUCCUGCACCCGUAUAUGGAGCGAAGGAGUGACGGAGACGGAUAGUGUGACCCUCUUAAUGGAUUGAGGGCGAAGCGAAGCGGCUGGUUACCAGGCAAAUCCGGUAACCAUAAGGCUAGAGCGUGACAGGUAAGCGAAAUCUUAGGAAAGUAGCGAAGCACAUGAUGACGGCUUCCAGGAAAAGCUUCUGGCAAUGCAUAUGCGGCCCGUACCAAAACCGACACAGGUGGGCAGGGAGAGAAUCCCGAGGUGAGCGAGAGAACUGUUGCCAAGGAACUCGGCAAAAUGACUCCGUAAGUUAGCGAGAAGGAGUGCUUAAGCAAUUAAGCCGCAGUGAAGAGGCCCAAGCGACUGUUUAACUAAAACACAGCUCUCUGCGAAGUCGCAAGACGAAGUAUAGGGGGUGACACCUGCCCGGUGCUGGAAGGUUAAGAGGAUCUGUUAAGAGCGAUCUGAAGCAGUGAUCCGAAGCCCCAGUGAACGGCGGCCGUAACUAUAACGGUCCUAAGGUAGCGAAAUUCCUUGUCAGGUAAGUUCUGACCCGCACGAAAGGUGUAACGAUUUGGGCGCUGUCUCGGCAGCAGACUCGGUGAAAUCUUAGUACCUGUGAAAAUGCAGGUUACCCGCAACUAGACGGAAAGACCCCAUGGAGCUUUACUGCAGCCUGAUAUUGAAUUCUGGUCAUACAUGUACAGGAUAGGUGGGAGACAAAGAGACGUGCACGCCAGUGUACGAGGAGUCGACGUUGGGAUACCACUCUUGUGUGACCGGGGUUCUAACCUGGUAUCGAGAACAGGUACGGGGAGAGUGUCAGGUGGGCAGUUUGACUGGGGCGGUCGCCUCCCAAAGAGUAACGGAGGCGCCCAAAGGUACGCUCAGAUUGGAUGGAAACCAAUCGUCGAGUGCAAUUGCAGAAGCGUGCUUGACUGUGAGACAGACAAGUCGAACAGGGACGAAAGUCGGGAAUAGUGAUCCGGCGGUGCCGAAUGGAAGGGCCGUCGCUCAACGGAUAAAAGCUACCCUGGGGAUAACAGGCUGAUCUCCCCCAAGAGUCCACAUCGACGGGGAGGUUUGGCACCUCGAUGUCGGCUCAUCGCAUCCUGGGGCUGUAGUAGGUCCCAAGGGUUGGGCUGUUCGCCCAUUAAAGCGGUACGCGAGCUGGGUUCAGAACGUCGUGAGACAGUUCGGUCCCUAUCUGUUGUGGGCGAAGGAGAUCUGCGGAGAGCUGUCCUCAGUACGAGAGGACCGGGAUGGACCUACCGCUGGUGCACCGGUUGUUCCGCCAGGGGCAUAGCCGGGUAGCUAAGUAGGGAAAGGAUAAGCGCUGAAAGCAUCUAAGCACGAAGCCUACUCCAAGAUGAGAUCUCCCAUUCG